rnacentral:rRNA from 1 species
UGGAUUUUGCAGGAGGGCGCACGACCGGGCUUUGCUCAGGCCGCGCGCCUACCUGUUUUUUGUCGGGGACUACGCCACUCUUAACUGGGGGGCGCUAGGACGCGGCUCGUUUACUUUGAAAAAAUUAGAGUGUUCAAAGCAGGCCUUUGCUUGAAUACAUCAGCAUGGAAUAAUGGAAUAGGACUUCGGUUCUAUUUUGUUGGUCUCUGGAACCGAAGUAAUGAUUAAUAGGGAUAGUUGGGGGCGUUUAUAUUUCCAUGUCAGAGGUGAAAUUCUUGGAUUUUGGAAAGAUAAACUUCUGCGAAAGCAUUCGCCAAGGAUGUUUUCAUUAAUCAAGAACGAAAGUUAGGGGAUCGAAGACGAUCAGAUACCGUCGUAGUCUUAACCAUAAACUAUGCCGACUAGGGAUCAGUGGACGUUAUUUUAUGACUCCAUUGGCACCUUGUGAGAAAUCAAAGUUUUUGGGUUCCGGGGGGAGUAUGGUCGCAAGGCUGAAACUUAAAGGAAUUGACGGAAGGGCACCACC